rnacentral:ncRNA from 1 species
UGUUAGUGCUGUGAAUAAGGCAGUAAGCGUGGCUGGGCUUUGGUUCAUGUUGCGCCGAUGAGUCGUCAUUGACCUAGUGUGACUCUGCCGAUAUAGAUUAGGCGCACUAACC